rnacentral:lncRNA from 1 species
AUGUACUCAUUGUUCUCAGAAAUAAGAAGUGUUGUCUGGAAAUUAAAACGGGUGUCUGAGGUUAUACUUUUUUCUUGCAUCUUGAUUCUUACAGUUAAGAACAAACAUGAUGUUGUUGCCUGUGUUUUCCUUAGAACCACAGAAUGGCUUGGGUUGGAAGGGACCUCAGUGAUCAUCCAGUUCCACCCCGUGCCGUGGGCAGGUUUGACAGCUUAUUUGGGCACCUUUAUGGGCACAGAGCUGUGGAUGCCUCUGCCCUUCACGAUGACUUUCCUCAAGUACUUGAUGAAGACAUACACUGUUCUGAACCACAUUUGAGGGUGUUCCCAACUAAGCUUGGUUAGAAUUUAAACUAAUAGGUGGGUGUUCCAUGAGAAGACAGACGACAAUUGGAACUGUAUCAGGCGCAUGUAGCAAACAA